AUGAAAGCAAAACUAAGGCAAAAUACUCAAAAAAAACAGAAUCUCUCAAAGUCACACUCACCGAGUCAGCAGCGGUUUGAGUACUUGUUUGUCUCUUUUCUUUUCCAAUCUCUGUUUCUAUUUUCAAUUCUUUCUUUUUGCC
rnacentral:ribozyme from 13 species